rnacentral:lncRNA from 1 species
AUACCGUAGAUCAAAGAACUACUUACACCAUUACAGCAUCGAGAAGAUCACUGAUGAGUGAGUAGACAUCCAAGUAAUUUUUCAUAUUGGUAAUGCUCAAUGCAAGUAUUCCCUAACAACUACCUGCACUCUCACCCCAGUAUCCCUACACUGCAGACUUCAAACUCAUCUGUCCAAAAGGAAGGGGAUCUAUACACUGAUCUCAAAUGCAUUGAUCACUAUCCCCAUG